rnacentral:rRNA from 1 species
CACGCCGUAAACUAUGGAUACUAGCUGUUGGAGGUAUCGACCCCUUCAGUAGCGAAGCUAACGCGUUAAGUAUCCCGCCUGUGGAGUACGGUCGCAAGACUAAAACAUAAAGGAAUUGACGGGGACCCGCACAAGCGGUGGAGCGUGUUCUUUAAUUCGAUGAUAAACGACGAACCUUACCAGGGUUUGACAUCCUUGGAAUUUCUGUGAAAGCAGAAAGUGCUUUAUUGAGCCAAGUGACAGGUGA